GUAGGUACCAGCGGGAAAACAGAAUGUCGUUUGGGCAAUUUGGUCAGUCUCAAGGGUCACUGUGAUUUUAUUCUUCGUUUGCGAGGUCAACAUAAUGAGCCAUUUUAACCAUGAGCCCCCAUGUAGGCCUUGUUAAAGUCCACAGUAUUUUUUUCUUCUGCAUACUGGCUUUUUGUGUGUUAAAACUCAGAACUCAUGAUCUGCAGAGCAAAGCCAAGGUCAUGUAGAUUUUCUUCUGUGUUUCUGUGUAAUUUUGAUAGUUUUGCAUUUUAAAUGGCUGUUAGUAAAUUUGAGUGAAUUUGGUAUAAGUUUGACAGUUUGUGUUCACAGUCAUUUCAUUUCAUGUGGUUUCCAGUUAAUUGUUCUGUAACUUUUGGAGAAAUCGUGAGAUAUUUGUCUCUAUUUCAAUUUGAAUUUCUGCCAUUUACUGUCUGCUGUAGAACCACCCUCGGGGCGGGGCCUGACCUGUGAGGGAGGCCAUGUCUGCACUCUCCCAUUGGCUGUCAGGGAAGGCAGAGCUCACCUCCCUGAGCUGGGGUGGGAAAGCCCAAGGGUGUAGCUCUGCCCUCAGCUGAUGGGAUCCCUGUCUCCUCAGGACCUGCUGGGGCUUCGGCUUGUGGAAUGCUGGAAUCUGAGUCCUUGGUGACAGCCUGGGCUUCAAGACAGCCCCAGGGGAGAGUCCACGCUGAUGGGAGCCUGCUCUCCCCAGGACCCACGGGGGAUUCAGCCUUAGGACCUUGUGGCGUCCAGUUCACAUGGACAGGUGCUCGGUCUCCUGGGGACCCGCCAGGAGGUAGUGGGAGGAAAAGGGGCUAGCAGCGCACCCAGGCCCAAGUCAGGUCUGCCAGGCAGUCCUGUUGGCUGCACUGGUCUCAGUGAGUCCAGCUUGGUGUGGUCUCCAUGCAGAGGAAGUUCGGGCACCAGGGCAUUGCUAGCGGCUUUACAGGGACGCCACUUCCUCCCUGGCCUUUGCAGGAGAGGGAACUCCAGGCUGCAGAUGCCCUGGAACUGGAGAGCAAGGAAUCUGCAGCUCCACAUGGACGUGGCCUUAGUGUGGCAGGAUUUGCUCGGCAUUGCCUCCUGAGAAAUCUGCAUGCAGGUCAAGAAGCAACAGUUAGAACUGGACAUGGAACAACAGACUGCUUCCAACUUGAGAAAGGAAUACGUCAAGGCUGUAUAUUGUCACCCUGCUUAUUUAACUUAUACGCAGAGUACAUCAUGUGAAAUGCUGGGAUGGAUGAAGCACAAGCUGGAAUCAAGAUUGCCAGGAGAAAUGUCAAUAACCUCAGAUACUCAGAUGACACCACCAUUAUGGCAGAAAGCAAAGAGAACUAAAGAGCUUCUUGAUGAAAGUGAAAGAGGAGAGUGAAAAAGUUGGCUCAAAACUCAACAUUCAAAAAACUAAGAUCAUGGCAUCUGGUCCCAUCACUUUAUGGCAAAUAGAUGGGGAAACUGAGAGACUUUAUUUUCGGGGGCUCCAAAAUCACUGCCGAUGGUGACUGCAGCCAUGAAAUUAAAAGACGCUUGCUCCUUGGAAGAAAAGUUAUGGCCAACCUAGACAGCAUAUUAAAAAGCAGAGACAUUACUUUACCAACAAAGGUCUGUCUAGUCAAAGCUGUGGUUUUUCCAGUAGUCAUGUAUGGCUGUGAGAGUUGGACUCUAAAGAAAGCUGAGUGCUGGAGAAUUGAUGCUUUUGAACUGUGAUGUUGGAGGAGACUCUUGAGAGUCCCUUGGACUGCAAGGAGAUCCAGCCAGUCAAUCCUAAAGGAAAUCAGUCCUGAAUAUUCAUUGGAAGGACUGAUGCUAAAGCUGAAGCUCCAAUACUUUGGCCACCUAAUGCGAAGAACUGAUUCACUGGAAAAGACCCUGAUGCUGGGAAACACUGAAGGCACCCCCAGUGCCUUCAUUCUCCUUCUGAAGGCAGGAGGAGAAGGUAAUGACAGAGGAUGAGAUGGUUGGAUGGCAUCACCAACUCGAUGGACAUUAGUUUGAGCAGGCUCCAGGAGCUGGUGAUGGACGGGGAGGCCUGGCGUGCUGCAGUCCAUGGGGUCACAAAGUCAGACACGACUGAGUGACUGAACUGAACUAGGGUCCUGAUGUAUGCAAGCUCUUGCCAGUCAGUUUAAAAAUUAUCAUGUCAGUGUGUCAAUUUUUAUGGCCCUCUUUUUGAUCUCCCAGUUCUUGAAUUUUCUUAUGACGUUGAGUCUCCAUCCCCUGACCUUUUCUCUGACUUCAGGCCAUUGUCUAAGGACCAGAGUCUGUUCUAAAGUUAAUGGACCACCUGGUGUUUUUUUACCUUCUGAUUGUCCUGUCAUGAGUUUGGGUGAUUUAUAGUCUUCAGGUCAAGGGGGCAUGGAGGCAUUCUCUUUGAAUGUCAAGAAACUGGAACAGCCAGUGUGGUUAUAGAUUACUGGAGUGAAAUGCUCAUGUGAAAAAUAAGUGAAGAUUGGAAUUAGAUUUUUAGAAGAAGAAACCAAGAUCUUGUUUUCUUUUGACCCUACACUGACUACCUAAUAUUUUUCUACCUCACUAGGACCAAGAUGGCAAUGAAUCUGACCCUCAGCAGACCCCAAGUCUCAUAGUAUGUUGAUUUUAGUAUAUUAUUGAUGUAGGAGAUAGAUGGGCUCCAUUUAUAACUGGACAUAGACAUUUAUAAAUGGCCUCCUGUUUGCAUUUCAUGUGACACAAAAAAGUGGACUUCAGGCUGGAUGCUUACAACUGUGUUAGCAUUUCUGAGAGAAGAGAUAGAUGCACUUUGGUCUAGGUAUUUACAAUCAGCCUCCUGUUUGCCCUCUGAAAUGGAAGUAACAACUGAGUAAAUAGCCAGUGUUUGUCUCUUGUAAACACCUUAAGGUGAUAGUCAUGGCAAGGACAAAGAGGGGGCAAAAGCCCGUAUGAGUAAAGGAUUCAGGGAUCUCUGCCCCCACUCUUUUGGAACAAGGGAGACACUACGCAUGCACAGAAAGGCUUCUUGUGAGUCAGAACUCGAGAUAAUGCCAGGCCAUAGUGAGUCUUGCUCCUCCCAGAAGCCUUCACUUCGAGAUCCAUCUUGGCUGAGGGGUCUGUAGAGAAGAUUCUGAGCCACAUCCUGUGAGCUGUCUUAUAGAUACCAAAACAUCAGGCGGAGUUAACUACACGAUGACCAGACUGGACCCAGGACACGAGCUGCCACCAUUCAGAGAACUGGCCACAAAGAGAUGGGAACACGCGGACCCUGGAACUGAAGAUCAACUGUACUUACAGCAAGAUGGCGCUGGUCAGACCCCGAUGACCAAUUUCAAGAUGACUGUCAGAGCUGACUCUGCUAUUUCUGCAUGUAGCCCAUCUCCCCCAUUCCCAAUCCCCCACCCACCCUGUGUCUAUAAAAGCUUUCACCCCUCGUAUGUCAGUGGUGGGCAUGGCCUUUGGACAGACGUCCACCGCUCCGCUCCUCGCA
ensembl:lncRNA